AACGAACGCUGGCGGCGUGCUUAACACAUGCAAGUCGAACGGGAAACGUUCCUUCGGGAACCGAGUACAGUGGCGCACGGGUGAGUAACACGUAGGUGACCUACCUAUCGCUGGGGAACAACCCCGGGAAACCGGAGCUAAUUCCGCAUACGCUUUCCAACUCGCGGGUUGGAAAGGAAAGAUGGCCUCUUCAUGAAAGCUAUCGGCGAAUGAUGGGCCUGCGCGUCAUUAGCUUGUUGGUGAGGUAACGGCUCACCAAGGCUGCGAUGACUAGCUGGUCUGAGAGGAUGAUCAGCCACACUGGCACUGGAACACGGGCCAGACUCCUACGGGAGGCAGCAGUGGGGAAUAUUGCGCAAUGGGCGAAAGCCUGACGCAGCAACGCCGCGUGAGUGACGAAGGCCUUCGGGUCGUAAAGCUCUGUCGGGAGGGACGAAACACCGGUGGGAACAAUACCUCGCCGGUUUGACGGUACCUCCAAAGGAAGCACCGGCUAACUCCGUGCCAGCAGCCGCGGUAAUACGGAGGGUGCAAGCGUUGUUCGGAAUUACUGGGCGUAAAGGGCGUGUAGGCGGAUCAAGAAGUCGGGUGUGAAAGCCCUGGGCUCAACCCAGGAAGUGCGCCCGAAACCAUUGGUCUUGAGUUCCAGAGGGGAGCGGGGAAUUCCCAGUGUAGAGGUGACAUUCGUAGAUCUUGGGAAGAACACCGGUGCCGAAGGGGCCGCUCUGGAUGGAUACUGACGCUGAGGCGCGAAAGCAUUGGGGAGCAAAC
rnacentral:rRNA from 1 species